AUGAAUAUGAUAAAGGCAGGGCAUAGGUACUCCAAAGACGUAUAUGUCAUGAUGCAAGAAAAUCAACACAUUGCUACCUCGCAUUAUGUUCGCAUGUAUGUUCGAGAAACAGGGGAGUUUGAGGUUCAAGAAAUUGCAAAUACGCGACUUGAUCGACGAGCAAUGGCAUGCACUGUCAAAUUGAAUGAAUGGUCGUGUGAUUGCGGACAAUUUCAAGCACUUCGACUACCUUGCUUGCAUGCAAUUGCAGCGUGUGUUUUUUGCAAUUUAGAUUAUGAUGACUUUGUUGACCCUAGAGUGAGAGUUUGGUUUUAUAUCCGUAGCGGUGAAUUUGGCGGUGCGUUGACAUUGGAGGAGGGACUUGAGAAACUGAAGGAGGCUCUCCAAAUCUUGAAUUCUCCUUCCCCUUCUUCCCCUACUGUCCUAAGACCUUCACUUUGUUUUGCUCCCAACCCCACUCCUCCUCGGUCUUUCCUCUCAUUUAUGUAUCCAAGAACGACGCCGACUCUAAAUCACUCUGUCAAUUUGGAUGAUAAUGUGAGUCACCAGAAAGAAAGGUUCUUUUUGGUUUUCCAUACCUCAGUUUUCCUUCUCUACCUUUCAAGAAGCUCAUUAUUCGCUUCAAGAUUCUCUAGACCAGCUGUAGAUCCUCAGUACAAGGAUUUAAGGCAUUUUCAGUGGCAUUGGGAAAAGGGGGAGCCUGUCAUUGUCAGCAAUGUGCUUGAAUGUACAUCUGGUUUAAGCUGGGAACCGCUUGUCAUGUGGCGUGCAUUACGUCAUGUAACUAAUACCAAGCAUGGCCAACAUUUGGCGGAGAAAACAAUUGAUUGCUUAGAUUGGACUGAGGGGGAAAUUAAUAUCCACCAACUUUUUACUGGCUAUACAAAUGGUCGUAGGGAUUGGCUUGCUUGGCCACAGAUAUUGAAAUUAAAAGAUUGGCCUCCUUCUAAUUUAUUUGAGGAACAAUUGCCUCGUCAUUGUGCUGAGUUCAUAUCUUCCUUACCCUUCAAGGAAUAUACUGAUCCUCACAAAGGUUCUCUUAACCUUGCUGUGAAGUUGCCUAAUGGUUCUCUAAAGCCAGACCUGGGGCCAAAAACAUAUAUUGCUUAUGGAUUUCCUCAGGAGCUUGGACGUGGUGAUUCAGUGACUAAGCUCCAUUGUGAUAUGUCUGAUGCAGUAAAUGCGUUGACUCAUAUUGCUGAAGUGAAACUGGAUUCUGAUCAACUUACUGUCAUUGAGAAGUUGAAGCAAAAGCAUCUCGAGCAAGAGAAAAGGGAGCUACUUGGUGAUGAUCAGGAUGGAGAAACUAAUGUUGACAUGCUUAAUAUAAUUCAUCUUCUACAAUAAAUGCUUUGGACAGGCAAACUAGUGUUGAAGUCAUGGAACAAGAAGGUGGAUUAUGUGAUGGGAAAGAAGUUGAUCAGUUUCAUCAACCGUCUGGUAGUAAUGAGGUUGCCAUUGCUAAUGAGGAUGGUAUUUCAUAUGGAUCAGAGCUCAUAGAGGUUGACAAAGUAAAAGUAAAUCAAGGUGAUUUGUUGUUUGGGGGGGAUGCUUCAGAUGGUGCUCUCUGGGAUAUUUUUUGGAGACAGGAUGUCCCUAAGUUGCAGGAAUAUCUGAAGAAGAAUUUCAGAGAGUUUAGGAUGAUUGACUUUUGGAUGUAUAGUUGGAUCAUGCCAAUGAAUUAUCAAACUCCCUGAAAGAAAGUGCCAAUAUUAACACUGUUUGGGCAUCGCUUAUUGUUGAAGAAUGCACAAGACUUGGUUUGAUGUAUUUGUGUAUUGCUCCUGGAUCUAGACCUUCCCCUGUUGCUGUUGCUGUUGCAAGUCACAAAUUAAUCACAUGUAUUUCAUGCUUCGAUGAGCGUUCACUUGCAUAUCAUGCUGUUGGAUAUGGAAGAGGAUCUCACAUUCCAGCAGUAGCCAUUACAUCAUCAGGCACUGCAGUUUCCAACCUUCUUCCUGCUGUAUGUUUCAUUAAUAUUGCUUGUUUUACAUGGAUGUCCUUAUUUUCAUGAAUUUAUUUUAGGGUAAAAUACAUUUUUGGUUCCCCUAUAAUGCUCAAUCUGCAAUUUUGGUCUCCUAGAUACUUUUAUUUUUCACUCAAUGUUUGACCAUGGAUAAUCAAUUAACGGUCAACUAACAGAAGAACCAAAAUCGCUGAUUUUGAAAAAUUGGGGGACUGAAUGUCUUGAUUUGGAAAUAGGGGGACCAAAAUUGCGGAUUGAGCAUUAUAGGGGACCAAUAGUGUAUUUUAGCCUUUAUUUUAUUUUGAAUGUGUGAUGAUUUAUUAAUUUCUUUCCUGUGACUUGGUUUGUUGUCAUUCUGAAUGCUGUUGCUAAUACAUGCAUUGUUGGAGUUCAAUUGGUUGCUUUGCUGGCUCUUUUUUUGCACUUAGUUUUUAUUUUUAUUUCCAUCAACUUGAUUUGUAGUUUUCUCUUUGAGUUUAAUUCCCCUCAAGGUUUGAAUUGUAAUUGCUUUUAGAGUUUAAUUCAAAUUCACUAACUAUGAUAAAAAUCUGAUCAUAAAUUAUCAAUUAUGAUAAGAGUAUUGAUUUUUAUAAUAAUUAUUUAAAAAUCGUAUCUAAAAUAAUUUUUUAGAAUAAAUAAUACAUAGUAAAUAAUUUAUGCACUGAAAUUUUAUAAAAACUUUUUACACUUUUAUUUAAUUAUAAAUUAUCAUAUAUAUUAAGUCUGUUAACUUUUAUAAUAAUUAAUUUAAUAAUUUUUUAUAUGUCAUCAUUUCUAGUUAGUUGAUUGAAAGUGUAAAAAACUUUUACACUAUUAUUUAAUCACAAACUGUCAUAUGUGUGAUAAAUUUAUUGAUAUUCAUGAUAAUUAUUAUUAAAGUUAUAUGAUAAAUAUUUCUAGUUGAUUGAUAAUAUAAUUUUCUUGCACAAACAAUGCACAUGCCUAUUAAUUAACUCAAUAUUAAAUUAAUUUACAAUUUUUUUUUUUACAUUUGACAGUAUAUCAAAAUAAAACUUAUGCUUUUAUACAAAAACAUGAGAUCCUUAAUGCACGUUGGUUUUAUAUUUUGUUAUAUUGUGUUCAUGUAUUUUUUUAUUUUUUUUUUAUACAGUGUUCUUGUAUUCAAUAUACUUAAAAAUGAAACACUUUCAUGCAUUCAAGUAUACCAAACAAAAUUCCAACACUAUAUUUUGGAGAAAUAUGGUUUCAAUGUUUAUUCUUUUUCAAAUUUGUAAGAAGAAUUUAUUACUGUUUAUGGUUAAUAUGGGCUGAUAUAUAUUUUUCCUGUAGGGACUGCAACCUAAUCUACUAACUACUACUGAACUCUAAUGCAGGUCAAGUCUGAUCUGGCUAAAAAUAUCCAAUCAUUAGAACCAAACUCUAAAUGUUAUGUCUUGUAAUGAGUGAUUCUCUUACACUCUGAAGUAUAACAAUUUUACCUUAUAAGGGUUCAAUUCAAUCAAAGUAAAAUGGAAAGCGUUUCCUUAUUUAUCAAAUAUGCUUAUGUUUUGUAAUGUUCUUCUACUAAUAUGUGGCGAGCUUAAUCCAAAGUGAUCUUUCUUUUGGAACUAUCCAGUUGAAUAGCAGCAUAUUUUCAGCCUUGAACUUUAUAUUUUAUUUGUGACUGUUCUUCUUUAAGAGUGGUUUAUGAAUGUGGUAUUGAUAUUUGAUGCACGAUAACUGGCCUUCUGUCAGGUAAAGGUUCAACUUCUUAUUGCCAUUACUUUAAUAACAUUAAAUACUAAUUCUUUAGCCGCUCCCAGAUUGAGUUAGAUGAGCUGGAAAGUGUUUCCAUUCUGUCCAUGACCCUUGCAUGGGAUGAAUUUUCCUUCUCUACUUUUCAAGAAGCCCAUUAUUCGCUUCAAGAUUCUCUAGACCAGGUGCCUGACAUGCCUUUUUGAUAUCUUUUCUGUUUUGUUGUUUUAUUUACCAUCAUUCCCUGCUUCUAUCAUUUUUCAUGUAAUUUGGAAUAUUUAAAGUUAAAUGGUCAAUUCUUUUUUGUAUCAGUUUUUACACCUUUGUGAAUGAAAAAAGGGAAUCUUUCAUUAUGGUUUGGUUGGGCCUUUCUCUUUGUUUCCUAUAAUCUAGAGGAUCCUUAUCUUCUUCUUGGGUUCUGAAAAAAUAAAAACAUCUACUCCCUCCUGUAUUUAUGCUUGAUGUUAUUUCCUACGGUGUGGGUUAUGUGUCAUGUCUGGUCUACGAUUGACACAUGGAAAUCCAAAUGCACUAGAGCUGCCCUCAAAAAACUCAAUUUGGUAGAAGAUAGAUCUAUUCCAAGGGUACAAGCUCAUUUCUUUCCUAAGAAUAUGUAAGUUUUACUUGCAACUAGUUGUUACUUCCCUGAAUGCCAAUAUUUGUUUGACAUGUUUCUUUAGUUGAUAUUUGUCUUUUGCAUUUUCUUUUCCUUGGGUCUGGUUAAAUGUUAAUGCUCAAAAGGCUAUUUUCGUUAUUGUUGUAUUUUUUUGUAUUAUAUGCUAAUAUUUUAAGAUUUAAAUACAAUGCAGUGCAAACUAUAUUUGGGCCAAGCCCAUAUACUUUCAAUAGUCUAAUUCUAACUCAAUCCAUAAUAGCUCUUUAACAUUGUUCCCAAAUCCCAAGUUUGAGCUUAAAUAUUAAUCAUGCCUAGCUUGUUACAAAUGAAAUAACAGUGUUUUCCGGUCACAACCUUUGGCUAACAAUUUAUGGGUAAGCUUGUCUCCCUAAGGCAGGACCAUCAACCAUCUAGCAAUUCUUCAUUCCAGAGUCCAAAGAAGGUCAACUUGGUUGCUGCUCUGGUUCGUGGUAUGCUUGUUAAAGAUGCAUCGAUGCAGUUGGAAUCGACAAUAAAACGAGCAGCAAAAACUGUAUAUCAGGUUAAAGAGUUCCAUAGAAGAGAUGGUUUUGAGGUAGCAAGUGCUGACAAGAUGGCUAAGUCAUGCAUGGUUUAUUUUGAAAUGCAUCUAUCCCUAAGGAAAAAAAUAAUUACAAAAGCUUUUAAUGGUAGUUAUAGUAUCUACAAGGAAACUUUUUGUAACCAGGUCUAUUGCCUUUUUGUUUGAGUAACUGGACAUGCAGGUACAAUAAUUGUUGUUGAAGAUGACAAGGGACCUGAAAGAGGAAUGCCGAGCUUCAAUUCUGAGUUACCCAAUUCCAAUUCAUGGGUUGAGGAUGUUACAAGAGUUUGGGAUCCUUGCUGACCAGUGACUAGGGUUGAGGAUUUUACCAAGAGUUGAAGACCGUUGCUGCUAGAAUGUCAAGGUAAAGAGAAACGUUGUUAAUUAGUAUCCUUUUAAGGUAAAAAAAAAAA